UUCAACUGCUGGUUCAUGGAUUCUAUUACAUUGUCACGUUGCUGGAGCUAUUUUUCGUGGCAAGAUAAUGGUGUACAUGACACAGGAGUUGGA
rnacentral:pre_miRNA from 1 species